CAGUAGCCGCGGUAAUACGGAGGGUGCAAGCGUUAAUCGGAAUUACUGGGCGUAAAGCGCACGCAGGCGGUCUGUCAAGUCGGAUGUGAAAUCCCCGGGCUCAACCUGGGAACUGCAUUCGAAACUGGCAGGCUAGAGUCUUGUAGAUGGGGGUAGAAUUCCAGGUGUAGCGGUGAAAUGCGUAGAGAUCUGGAGGAAUACCGGUGGCGAAGGCGGCCCCCUGGACAAAGACUGACGCUCAGGUGCGAAAGCGUGGGGAGCAAACAGGAUUAGAUACCCCGGUAGUCCCUGUCUCUUAUAC
rnacentral:rRNA from 1 species